GGACAACCCGCCGAAAGGCGGGCUAAACCCGCGUACAUGCCACCGGGGCAUCCCGGAGGCAGGAAAGGCUUCGCCGGACAGGGAUGGGCAUGCGGCGCAUUAGGCAGUAGGCGGGGUAACGGCCCACCUAACCGACGAUGCGUAGGGGUUCUGAGAGGAAGGUCCCCCACACUGGUACUGAGACACGGACCAGACUCCUACGGGAGGCAGCAGUGAGGAAUAUUGGUCAAUGGUCGGGAGACUGAACCAGCCAAGCCGCGUGAGGGAGGAAGGUACAGAGUAUCGUAAACCUCUUUUGUCAGGGAACAAAGACGGGACGCGUCCCCGGAUGAGUGUACCUGAAGAAAAAGCAUCGGCUAACUCCGUGCCAGCAGCCGCGGUAAUACGGAGGAUGCGAGCGUUAUCCGGAUUUAUUGGGUUUAAAGGGUGCGCAGGCGGUCUGUUAAGUCAGCGGUCAAAGCCCGGGGCUCAACCCCGGCCCGCCGUUGAAACUGGCAGUCUCGAGUUGGAGAGAAGUAUGCGGAAUGCGCGGUGUAGCGGUGAAAUGCAUAGAUAUCGCGCAGAACUCCGAUUGCGAAGGCAGCAUGCCGGCUCCACACUGACGCUGAGGCACGAAAGCGUGGGUAUCGAACAGGAUUAGAUACCCUGGUAGUCCACGCAGUAAACG
rnacentral:rRNA from 1 species